rnacentral:lncRNA from 1 species
UUACAUGAAUGUCCCUCUCAAUUAGGACUCUCCUAGCUAGAGUCCUAACAGACCCACCCUCUUCAAAUCAGCCUUGUCCUCGAGGCUGACGAUUCAUGAAUUUUGGGAAUUUGAUCUUCAAGUCGUCAUAGUUCUCCCAAGUGGCAUCUUCUAUUGGUAGGUUCACCCACUGUAUUAGCACUUUAGUAGUGGGUCGUCGUCGUCGAGUCACGAUCCGUCGAUCAAUAAUGG